rnacentral:tRNA from 1 species
GAGGAUUGGUGUAAUGGUAGCAUGACGGUCUCCAAAACCGUUCGUCAAGGUUCGAGUCC